GACGAACGCUGGCGGCGUGCUUAACACAUGCAAGUCGAACGGAAAGACCCUGCUUUUGUGGGGUGCUCGAUUGGCGAACGGGUGAGUAACACGUGAGUAACCUGCCCUUGACUUUGGGAUAACUUCAGGAAACUGGGGCUCAUACCGGAUAUGAGCUCCUGCUGCAUGGUGGGGGUUGGAAAAUUUCGGCGGUUGUGGAUGGACUCGCGGCUUAUCAGCUUGUUGGUGGGGUAGUGGCUUACCAAGGCUUUGACGGGUAGCCGGCCUGAGAGGGUGACCGGCCUCAUGGGGCCUGAGAGACGGCCCAGACGCCUACGGGAGGCAGCAGGGGGGAAUAUGGCAGAAUGGGCGGAAGCCUGAGGCAGAAACGCCGCGUGCGGGAUGACGGCCUUCGGGUUGUAAACCGCUUUCGCCGGUGACGAAGCGUGAGUGACGGUAAUGGGUAAAGAAGCAACGGCUAACUACGUG
rnacentral:rRNA from 1 species